UAAGGAAUAUUGGUCAAUGGACGCAAGUCUGAACCAGCCAUGCCGCGUGAAGGAAGACGGCCCUACGGGUUGUAAACUUCUUUUGUACGGGAAAAAAUCUCCGGUCGUGAAUCGGAGCUGAUGGUACCGUAAGAAUAAGCAUCGGCUAACUCCGUGCCAGCAGCCGCGGUAAUACGGAGGAUGCAAGCGUUAUCCGGAUUCAUUGGGUUUAAAGGGUGCGCAGGCGGAAUGAUAAGUCAGUGGUGAAAUCCUACGGCUCAACUGUAGAACUGCCAUUGAUACUGUCGUUCUUGAGUACACUUGGAGUGGGCGGAAUGUGUCAUGUAGCGGUGAAAUGCUUAGAUAUGACACAGAACACCGAUCGCGAAGGCAGCUCACUAAAUUGUAACUGACGCUCAGGCACGAAAGCGUGGGGAUCAAACA
rnacentral:rRNA from 1 species